AAAUUGCAUUUAACGACAAACGAGGAAAAGUUGAAGGAAAAUUUCCCUUGUUACUGGUCUCAAUUAGACAAGAAAUUGAAAAUCUUCUUCAUCGUGAAAGUUUCAUGGCAAGAAAUGUUCUUGAAGUUGAAGGAAGAAGAAAUGACGUUUCCUUGAGUCAGGUAUGUAACGGAAAUUCUAACGAAGCAGCACGUGAUCCACUAGGAAGUUUGUUAAUUAAGAGGAAAAUGUAAUAAUCUCAUUUGCCAACGAUAUUAAACUCCUCCCUGAAUCCGUGACUAGAUGAAAAAAAAUUCUACCAUGAAUUACGUGGUCGUUCGUCUUGAAGCUUUCAUAAGCUGCGCCAAAGGGGUACUUUCCAACCCUUUACGAGAAAAAAUCUAAAGAGAAAUGAAAUUACAUGGGACAAAAUCUUCUUUCACUGUUGAAGAAAUUUUAAUCGAGUGCCUCUUUGAUGACAGAUAUCGACAUUUCAAUGGCACCUAAGCAUGGUUCUCCUGGAAAUUUCGUGGAAUUCUCGAAACGAGUUUCUUCGUCGUUUCCUGCUUUUCUUCCUAUAAAUGCGGACCUGUCGCUGAAGGAGACGUGUAUACGACGUUGCAACCCCCAAGAUUCCGGAUAUCUCGUUCGUGUACUAGUUUUGACAGGGAGAAAUUGUGUUGGUUCUUCUCCUCGAAAAAGGCAGGCUAUAAAUCGUUAAUCAAACGACUGCGAAUGGUUUUUGAAUUUAUUUUUAACUCAGAAAUAUCGAGUUUGCUUUCCUUGUUCGCGUUUUUUUUUGCGAGCAAAAGGCCGUGUCGAAUCCUAAUUCCGCUAAAAACUCGUUUCAACCUCCAUCAGCAACACUCUUUCCUGUAAAUAAAAAUUCUGUCUUGGAAAAAUAUUUAUCUACCAAAUGCUGUAUCGAUUGGUAUUCCUCUAUGCAAUAUCUUGGUAAAGUAAACGCGACAUCAAAGAAUAUAUUCUGAACAGAAUAAAAAUAUAGGUUGCACACUUUGUCGAUAAAUUGCAACAUUUCUCCCGUAGGAAAUUUAACGCAUGGACAAGAUAGAACCACGACAAAGUUGAAGGAAUUCAACUUUUCCUUUUACUAAUUCUUUUUUUUUAGGAAUGGAACUUGCCAAAAAUUUCCACUGCAAUGAUGCUGGCUGUACUUUCAAACAGAUUGAAGUGGUAUCAGUAGGUAUUUCGCAAACGUUGUAAAAAAUAUUGCAAGAUUUUUUCUUUAUUUUUUUUCUCUUUCAAAUUGAUUAUAACAUUUUAAUUAAC